rnacentral:lncRNA from 1 species
GGAUCCUGGAGAACGCACAGCAGCUUCAGCUCUGUGACCUGCAGCACACAGGGAAUGUCUGCCUGCAUGGAGAGCAUCCAGCCAUGGAGCCCUGCUCUGGUGCCCUGGCCAGAUGUAAGAUUGUUGUGCCAGAUGCACCAAAUGGACACCUGGGACCCCGAUGUCAUACUCAGAAAAGGUGCUGGGCUGUGAUUCCAGCAUUCCAGCCUUUUGCUGUGCAUCCCACCAUGUGUGCAUGUCUGGAAGCCUCUGUCAGCAAUGGUGGGACAGCUCUGGAAUACACUGCUAAAAAACUUUCCUCUUGCAAUGAUGUGUUACUUUUUAUUCUAUUCCCCCUGAUUUUCUAUUCCUCCUGCAACUGCCAAUGCAGCAGUGGAUCUGCUCCGACAGAAGGGAUUGUUCUCCAUGUGUCUGUGAUGCCUCAGGUUUUAGCUUCUAUAUUUUUCAGAUUCUGUACUGCAUUCUGUACUGCUUCUGAGCUUCAUAUUAGGGGAUGGUGAGCUCUCUUCACAGAGUAGGUAGACAAAAAAAUUCCUUCUCUAGCUUGGGACCAAGGACAACUGACCCAAAUUUCAGGCCCAAGAGCAUAAACAACAUGGACUGAAGAGAGAAACACAAGAAGGAUGGGACAAUUAACCCCAAUAUGGAAAUGGAGCAGAACUUAUAAAAAUGAGAGACCCCGUGAGCCAUCAUGCAUUUUGUGACCAUUUUGGUUCAUCUUGGGUGUAGCCCUGGC